rnacentral:rRNA from 1 species
UUGACGGGGGCCCGCACAAGCGGUGAGCAUGUGGUUUAAUUCGAAGCAACGCGAAGAACCUUACCAGGUCUUGACAUCCGAUGCUAUUUCUAGAGAUAGAAAGUUACUUCGGUACAUCGGUGACAGGUGGUGCAUGGUUGUCGUCAGCUCGUGUCGUGAGAUGUUGGGUUAAGUCCCGCAACGAGCGCAACCCCUAUUGUUAGUUGCCAUCAUUCAGUUGGGCACUCUAGCGAGACUGCCAGUAAUAAACCGGAGGAAGGUGGGGAUGACGUCAAAUCAUCAUGCCCCUUAUGACCUGGGCUACACACGUGCUACAAUGGUUGGUACAACGAGUUGCGAGUCGGUGACGGCGAGCUAAUCUCUUAAAGCCAAUCUCAGUUCGGAUUGUAGGCUGCAACUCGCCUACAUGAAGUCGGAAUCGCUAGUAAUCGCGGAUCAGCACGCCGCGGUGAAUACGUUCCCGGGCCUU